rnacentral:rRNA from 1 species
GGAGGAAAGCAGGGGAUCGCAAGACCUUGCGCUCAUUGAGCGGCCGAUGCCUGAUUAGCUAGUUGGUGAGGUAAAGGCUUACCAAGGCGACGAUCAGUAGCUGGUCUGAGAGGACGACCAACCACACUGGGACUGAGACACGGCCCAGACUCCUACGGGAGGCAGCAGUGGGGAAUUUUGGACAAUGGGGGAAACCCUGAUCCAGCCAUGCCGCGUGAGUGAAGAAGGCCUUCGGGUUGUAAAGCUCUUUCAGCCGGAACGAAACGGUCACGGCUAAUACCUGUGACUACUGACGGUACCGGAAGAAGAAGCACCGGCUAACUACGUGCCAGCACCCGCGGUAAUACGUAGGGUGCGAGCGUUAAUCGGAAUUCCUGGGCGUAAAGCGUGCGCAGGCGGUUUUGUAAG